GAUGAAGAACGUAGCGAAAUGCGAUAAGUAAUGUGAAUUGCAGAAUUCAGUGAAUCAUCGAAUUUUUGAACGCACAUUGCGCCCCCUGGUAUUCCGGGGGGCAUGCCUGUCCGAGCGUCAUUACAACCCUCAAGCUCAGCUUGGUGUUGGGCCCCGCCGCCCCGGCGGGCCCUAAAGUCAGUGGCGGUGCCGUCCGGCUCCGAGCGUAGUAAUUCUUCUCGCUCUGGAGGUCCGGUCGUGUGCUCGCCAGCAACCCCCAAUUUUUUUCAGGUUGACCUCGGAUCAGGUAGGGAUACCCGCUGAACUUAAGCAUAUCAAUAAGCGGAGGA
rnacentral:misc_RNA from 1 species